rnacentral:rRNA from 1 species
CACGUAGGGGGCGAGCGUUGUCCGGAUUCAUUGGGCGUAAAGCGCGCGCAGGCGGCUUGGAAAGUCGGGUGUGAAAACUCGGGGCUCAACCCCGGGCGUGCAUCCGAUACUGCCAGGCUUGAGGCAGGUAGGGGAGAUCGGAAUUCCUGGUGUAGCGGUGAAAUGCGCAGAUAUCAGGAAGAACACCCGUGGCUAAGGCGGCUCUCUAGUACGGUACUGACGCUGAGACGCGAAAGCGUGGGGAGCGAACAGG